rnacentral:rRNA from 1 species
CCUACGGGGUGCAGCAGUAGGGAAUCUUUCACAAUGGGCGAAAGCCUGAUGGAGCAACGCCGCGUGCAGGAUGAAGGCCUUCGGGUUGUAAACUGCUUUUAUAAGCGAGAAAUAUGAUGGUAACUUAUGAAUAAGGAUCGGCUAACUACGUGCCAGCAGCCGCGGUCAUACGUAGGAUCCGAGCAUUAUCCGGAGUGACUGGGUGUAAAGAGUUGCGUAGGUGGCAUAAUAAGUAGCUAGUGAAAUCUGGUGGCUCAACCAUUCAGACUAUUAGCUAAACUGUUAAGCUCGAGACCGUUAGGGGUAACUGGAAUGUCUAGUGUAGGAGUGAAAUCCGUAGAUAUUAGAAGGAACACCAAUAGCGUAGGCAGGUUGCUGGGACGGUUCUGACACUAAGGCACGAAAGCGUAGGGAGCAAACGGGAUUAGAUACCCCUGUAGUC